AUUGAACGCUGGCGGCAGGCCUAACACAUGCAAGUCGAGCGGUAGAGAGAAGCUUGCUUCUCUUGAGAGCGGCGGACGGGUGAGGAAUGCCUAGGAAUCUGCCUGGUAGAGGGGGAUAACGUUCGGAAACGGACGCUAAUACCGCAUACGUCCUACGGGAGAAAGCAGGGGACCUUCGGGCCUUGCGCUAUCAGAUGAGCCUAGGUCGGAUUAGCGAGUUGGUGGGGUAAUGGCUCACCAAGGCGACGAUCCGUAACUGGUCUGAGAGGAUGAUCAGUCACACUGGAACUGAGACACGGUCCAGACUCCUACGGGAGGCAGCAGUGGGGAAUAUUGGACAAUGGGCGAAAGCCUGAUCCAGCCAUGCCGCGUGUGUGAAGAAGGUCUUCGGAUUGUAAAGCACUUUAAGUUGGGAGGAAGGGCAGUAAAUUAAUACUUUGCUGUUUUGACGUUACCGACAGAAUAAGCACCGGCUAACUCUGUGCCAGCCGCCGCGGUAA
rnacentral:rRNA from 1 species